rnacentral:rRNA from 1 species
AAACUGAAGAGUUUGAUCCUGGCUCAGAUUGAACGCUGGCGGCAUGCCUAAUACAUGCAAGUCGAACGGAAACGAUGGAAGCUUGCUUCCAGGCGUCGAGUGGCGGACGGGUGAGUAAUACUUAGGAAUCUGCCUAUUAGUGGGGGACAACUCGAGGAAACUCGAGCUAAUACCGCAUACGCCCUACGGGGG